GGUUGCCAUUCCCUUCUCCAGGGGAUCUUCCCAACCCAGGGAUCGAACCCAGGUCUCCUGCACUAUAAGCAGACGCUUUACCAUCUGAGCCACCAAGGAAGUCCAAAAAGGUUGUAGGGGCACUCGUCCCUAGAGGAGGACUGGUCUUCAGUUAAGGGUAUACGAGUAGCUGUGCUCCCCUGCUAGAACCUCCAAACAAGCUCUCAAGUUCUGAGUAAGAGGGAUAUUAAACAGUCUCAGACACACAGAAACUGCCUUGAGGAUUAAAAUGCUUGUGACU
ensembl:misc_RNA 7SK 7SK RNA